ACUCUUCUCUGUUUCAUGCAAAUACACGUGACUGAGAUUCUUGUAAAAUCAAAACAGAAACUGCAGAGAUGAGGCCUAUAAUGUUCAGUCCUAUAUAGGUCUACUCAGAAGUGAACCCCAUUGAGUUCCUGGGAAAUUCACUCUAAAUAACAUUAACAA